UACGGAGGGAGCUAGCGUUGUUCGGAAUUACUGGGCGUAAAGCGCGCGUAGGCGGCUUUGUAAGUUAGAGGUGAAAGCCCGGGGCUCAACCCCGGAAUUGCCUUUAAGACUGCAUCGCUUGAAUCCGGGAGAAGUGAGUGGAAUUCCGAGUGUAGAGGUGAAAUUCGUAGAUAUUCGGAAGAACACCAGUGGCGAAGGCGGCUCACUGGACCGGCAUUGACGCUGAGGUGCGAAAGCGUGGGGAGCAAACAGG
rnacentral:rRNA from 1 species